AGGUGGUGCAUGGUUGUCGUCAGCUCGUGUCGUGAGAUGUUGGGUUAAGUCCGCACGAGCGCAACCCCUAUUGUUAGUUGCCAUCAUUCAGUUGGGCACUCUAGCGAGACUGCCGGUAAUAAACCGGAGGAAGGUGGGGAGUGACGUCAAUCAUCAUGCCCCUUAUGACCUGGGCUACACACGUGCUACAAUGGUUGGUACAACGAGUUGCGAGUCGGUGACGGCGAGCUAAUCUCUUAAAGCCAAUCUCAGUUCGGAUUGUAGGCUGCAACUCGCCUACAUGAAGUCGGAAUCGCUAGUAAUCGCGGAUCAGCACGCCGCGGUGAAUACGUUCCCGGGCCUU
rnacentral:rRNA from 1 species